GAGUGCCAGGGCCUUCAGAGGGUGUGACUUCUCAACUGACAUCCGAGCACAAGGAGCAGCACGUGAGGAGAGAUCCUGCCCUGCCUCCAAGAUCUGCAAACACCUAGAGGCCAGAUGAGAGUUGGAGCUUGUGAGACAGUCCACAGUUUAAUGGGGGGCAGAGGAAGUCCUUCAGACUGAAUGAGGAAGAGACAUAGAUGGUCUAUCUGGAUAAGG